rnacentral:rRNA from 1 species
UACGUAGGGUGCGAGCGUUAAUCGGAAUUACUGGGCGUAAAGCGUGCGCAGGCGGUUUUGUAAGUCAGAUGUGAAAUCCCCGGGCUUAACCUGGGAACUGCGUUUGAAACUACAAGGCUAGAGUGUGGCAGAGGGGGGUGGAAUUCCACGUGUAGCAGUGAAAUGCGUAGAGAUGUGGAGGAACACCGAUGGCGAAGGCAGCCCCCUGGGUUUACACUGACGCUCAGGCACGAAAGCGUGGGGAGCAAACAGG